UUUGAGACCAUUCUUAGAGUGCUGUCACCAGAUUCCUGUUUGGAUGUGAGUCUUGAAGAUCUGCAUCUGAUGAGCCUAAAUGUUGACAGAGUUAAUGCAGAUGUGGUUCCCUGCAGGAGUUUCAAGCCCAGUGAGUGGGGCAGUGCUUGCCAGGCUGGCAGGUGGCAGCUUGGUGGCAAUUGCACAGUUGGGCAGCCUUGGAGAAGAAAGCCAGAAGGCCAAGUAAUUCCAGCAUGGCUCAACCGGCUGCUGAAACCGCGACACCUGAGACACAAGAACUUGGCCAACAUCACUUGGAGUUGCUGUCUCCUGGCUUUUGGCUUCCAGCACAGCUUGAAUUUACUCCUGAGUAGACCUCAUGUCUGCCUUCUGUUUAUCCAGCUGUUAUCAACAAAUGUGCUUACUUGGUGACUCAUGCUCUGUUCCCUAACCACAUCCCCUUCCCUCUUAUGCCCCCACCCACCACAGCUGAGUCACUUGGACUCCUGUCACAAGGCCUCUUUCUUCAGUCAUGCAUGUAGAAACUUCUAGCUAAGUCCAACAUAAGCACCUCUGUCUUCCUUUUUCAAAGCUAUAGAGUGAGAGCUUGCUGGCCUUUCAUGGGCUGAUCCUGAUCUGCCCACAUUCAUUCUGCACUUCCUAGACCAGAUAUACCCAGAAUCUAUUGCUCCCUGUUCUGGCAAAUGAAAGUGCAUUUUUAUCUGCUCAUGGAAGACAUUUUAGCACAAGGUCCAUUGAAAAUUGAGGCAUAUGUUUCCUUUUGCCCACUGAUAAGGGAACUGCUGUUGGGAACCUUAAUUUAGGGCUAUCU